UACGGAGGGUGCAAGCGUUAAUCGGAAUUACUGGGCGUAAAGCGUGCGCAGGCGGUUUUUUAAGUCCGUUGUGAAAGCCCCGAGCUCAACUUGGGAAUUGCAGUGGAUACUGGAAGGCUGGAGUACGGUAGAGGAAGGUGGAAUUCCCGGUGUAGCAGUGAAAUGCGUAGAUAUCGGGAGGAACACCAGUGGCGAAGGCGGCCUUCUGGACCAGUACUGACGCUCAUGCACGAAAGCGUGGGGAGCAAACAGG
rnacentral:rRNA from 1 species